GGCUUGCGGUGUAAGGACAAUCCGCUGCCAUCCGCCCUGCCUGGGGCUCUGCCGCCGCUCGGCCCCACUGCAUCGUUCUUUUUGUCCAGGCUCUGCUCAGCGGGCCGCUCCGAUGAGCCGACAAGGGCUGCGCGGCUGCGGCAGCGCUUUCCUCCCUCUGUUCCUCCGUAACCGGGCCUGGCACGGCAUCGCAGCAUAAAAGGCGACCCCGGUGUGUGCUGACAGCCACCUCUCGGCAGCGUUGGGCAGGCUUCCUUGGUGCUGAGGAGGUAGCUGAGAUGAUGGUGAGCCUGCGGGAUAGACCCAGGGUGAGAACAUGGUGCCCUGUCCCAGGCUCUGCAGCCUGUCCCUCCAGAUCCCUUUCCCAUCAGAUCUGAAUACCGAUCUUAUGGUCAAAAAAGGAGGAAAACCAAAGUUCAGACUGGUCUUGGGCUCUGUGCUGGUGGUGUCCAGCUCUGAGAGGGGCCAGUGGGAAGACAUUUUGUGUUGAUGUUGCUCUUGUGGGAGGGCUGGGGUGGGACUGAACCCCUGGUCAAGGAGAAGGAUGAGUGUUGGGCAUGGGUGGAGAGUGGCUUGCUGUCGAGUUACCAGGCUGGGGCUGGAUCUGAUGCCUCCAUUCCCUGUGCGCGGUGAUCUGUUGGCUGCAGAUCCUCAUGUCUGGCUCUGCUUUCAGGAACGGCUACGUGGAAAAGGCCAGGAGCAUGUGAUGCCCUGUCCCAGGGAAGGGGCUGGGCUUGCUUUCCCAAGGGCCCAAGUUCAGACAGCUGUGAUGUGGAGCCACGUGAGUGUACUUUGUGGGCUGUAACCGGGUGCUGGGGUUUGGAGUGGGAUCCUGCUUGUCCUGGAGGACAAAGAGCAGAUCUAGCCAACUGCACCCAUGCUGGAAAGCAGCCAGUCCUUAGUCUGGGCUGUGCUGGUGGGGAUGAUGGACUUACAUUUAUCCCUGGAACUAUUCCAGGUCAGGCUGGUUUGGGCUCUGAGCAACCUGCUCUAGUUGCAGAUGUCCCUGGUGACUGCAGAGGGGAUGGGCUAGAGGAGCUUUAAAAGUCCCCAAUGAAACCACUCCAUGAUUACCAGUUUUUAACUGGGCAGCCUGCUCCCUGCAGAGCAGUGCCCACGAGGUGGGCACACCGCAGCAGCCUGGUCAGUGAUGACUCCCUUCCUUUGGAGACUGCUGGAUGAGUCCUGCGGAUAUGGGGCUGAGGCCAGGCAAGAUCUAACCAAACCCUCCUCAUGGUGUGGGAGAAGAGAGGGAGUGCCAGGGAGGUUCAGGUGGGCUCAGCUGCUCUUACUUGGUCUGCAUUAUUUCUUUAUGCCCCCCUCCAGGUCUCUGCAGCAUGUGGGCCUUAGGUGAGCUGGUCCCAAAGAGCUUCAGUGCUGCAGAGCAGGACUUGGUUUUUCUCCAGCUCUCCUCCAGAAGUGGGACCUUGGUGUAGCCAGAUCCAUCCAUCCCCUUCCCAAGCCAUGAACUUCCCUGGGUGGUAGAACAGCUGAUCCUGGGCUCUGUUCACCUGCCUC